rnacentral:rRNA from 1 species
CUUUAUUGGAGAGUUUGAUCCUGGCUCAGGAUGAACGCUGGCGGCGUGCCUAAUACAUGCAAGUCGAGCGAAUGGAUUAAGAACUUGCUCUUAUGAAGUUAGCGGCGGACGGGUGAGUAACACGUGGGUAACCUGCCCAUAAGACUGGGAUAACUCCGGGAAAUC